GGUAUCAUGGCUCAGCAGUAGAGCACUCGUUUAGCAUGUGUGAAGCCCUGGGUUCAAUUCUCAGUACCA
rnacentral:tRNA from 1 species